GACGGGGGGCCCGCACAAGCGGCGGGAGCAUGUGGAUUAAUUCGAUGCAACGCGAAGAACCUUACCUGGGUUUGACAUGCACAGGACGACUGCAGAGAUGUGGUUUCCCUUGUGGCCUGUGUGCAGGUGGUGCAUGGCUGUCGUCAGCUCGUGUCGUGAGAUGUUGGGUUAAGUCCCGCAACGAGCGCAACCCUUGUCUCAUGUUGCCAGCACGUGAUGGUGGGGACUCGUGAGAGACUGCCGGGGUCAACUCGGAGGAAGGUGGGGAUGACGUCAAGUCAUCAUGCCCCUUAUGUCCAGGGCUUCACACAUGCUACAAUGGCCGGUACAAAGGGCUGCGAUGCCGUGAGGUGGAGCGAAUCCUUGUUAAAGCCGGUCUCAGUUCGGAUCGGGGUCUGCAACUCGACCCCGUGAAGUCGGAGUCGCUAGUAAUCGCAGAUCAGCAAUGCUGCGGUGAAUACGAUCCCGGGCCUUGUACACACCGCCCGUCACGUCAUGAAAGUCGGUAACACCCGAAGCCGGUGGCCUAACCCGUGAGGGGGGGAGCCGUCGAAGGUGGGAUCGGCGAUUGGGACGAAGUCGUAACAAGGUAACCA
rnacentral:rRNA from 1 species